rnacentral:lncRNA from 1 species
UGGGUGCAGUUUUUGAGCAAUAUAAUCAGAGCUAAAUAUGCAUGUAGUGAUUAGUGAUGUGAACAAUUAAGUACUGAGAAGAAAUACUAACUGGUAUUUUCAAACUUAAAUUUCUGUAGUAAAAUCAGUAUCAAACUCUUAUCAGAUCAAGGAAAACAGGCAAUGCAUAUAAACAUACUUUUGAAUGUUGUGUGGCCUAUAAAGCAAUAAUGCAAUUUUUAUGGAAUGUCAUGGGAUAUGAGAAAUGGAAAUGCAAAAAUAACUAAUCCUUUAGUAAAAAUGUCAACAUGUUAAAAAGGGGAAUGUUAACUAAUGUAGGUUAUUGAUAUUUGUGAUUUGUUUAUGGGUUCUUGGCUUUGACAGCUUCAAAGAAUGGAUAGAUGACAAGUUAAAAGAAAUUUUGUAUAUAAUUGUCAAGGAAUGGGUCUUAAAUCCAAGAAUCGAGUCCCUUCCUUGGGGUGAAAAUGUAUCCUUAAAGCAUUCUGAUUGUUGAAAAAUAACAAAACAAAACUUGAGUUACCUAACCAAAGCAGACGCAAGAUUUUGUUUCUGCAGACUACUUGGCAAUCAAAAGUGAUCAUCACUUUAGUUAAUCAGUUUUCAGAAAGUUGCUUUGUGAGAAAAUUCUGUUAGAUAUAUUCUCCCAAUCAUGCAUUUUGUGGGAGGUUUUCCAGCAUUGUGAUUGAAUCAGAUGUUAGAAAUGAAUGGGGGGUUUAGCACAAAAACCGGUUGCACACUCAUGACGGCCAUUGUUGUAGCAUCAUGAGAAAUUACUAAUGACUGCAAGUCUGAUUUAAUGAUUUACACUUUCUUCAUGAUAAAAUAGGAAUAACAUACAUAGGAAUGGAUUGAUGGGGUGACCUCGGGUAUUCACUUGUAUGAAUCUAUUUGAAAAGAUUAAAUGAGGGUGAAUAUCAUGCUAGAUGGGCAAAAUUGUCACAUUCAGGACAGCUGUUUUGACUGCUAAGCCAAAAGUCACUGUUCAGAAACAUAGGAAAAAAGACCAAACAGAGCAUGACAUAUAGUCUAUUUAAGGGGAGAAAUUACAGAGUAGGACUUCUGCAUUUAGGUGAGGGAGCUACCCCCCUAGAGUAAAUGAUUGCUCAGGUUCCUAAAACUUAAUACCCACCAUGGUCAUUUUCUCCCCAGUGAUACAUACCAUAAACUUUUAAUCUGACCAUAGGAAUUCAAUGGUGGGUUGAAAAUGAAUCAAGAAAUAACAAUACAUAAAAUGAACAGACUUGUGGGGAUAAUGUUUUAAAGUGUAGUAUUAAUUACUCAGUCAUACCACUCAAUAAAUAGGGCAUGCCACUACUUUUCUUAAGAUGCUAAUUAUCAGCCAAUGUUCAAAGACAUUUUUAACUGUGGGCAAAUUAGUGGAUGGACUUUUUUGUCUGUCACUUUUUAAAAAAGUACUUAAGAUACAAGUUUUAUUAGUACCACAGUCUGCCUUCAGUAAUAUGCCUAAAAUAUUUUUCAGGGCCAGGAGCAUUCAGUUGAAAGAAAAUCUUUUUUACGACUGCAAAAUAGUAUUAAAACUAAUGCCCUGGUCCAAGAUUAGGUUUUUAAUGAUAUUAACAGUAGUCUGAUAAACAUCUAGAAGUCUGGCAUUGAGAAACAAAAGCUUGUACCUGACUGUCAACGUAGUGGGUUUGUGCUUGUUUGGAGAUCAGUUCAAAAACUAUCUGUACUAUCUGUACUGCCUCUGAUGUUAAGAUUUUAUGUAUAGCAUAAGGAAGCUAGCUCUGACUAUAUUUUCCUAAGAAUAAAGACCUAUUUUUGUAGC